GUUCUGAUGAGGGAUGUUGAUAAUGCAGGAGGCUGGGGGCUGAUAGGUGUUGGGAGCAGAGAGCACGUGGAAAAUUCUUGCCUGCUUUUCAACAUCCACCCAAGAAGUAAUCAUUGGGCAAAACUGACCACCAGGCCUCAUCUCACUGCAAGGGGGCUGAAGAAUGACAGAAGACAAAGCUCCAGCUGGCAGAGAAAGAUGAAUGUGAGAGAAGGAAAAGUUUUAUCUAAGCCUGGAACCCAAGAAGAGAACCUCUGCCUGCCCAAAUCAGAUCAACACAAAUCUAUAUUUUCAAAAAACCUAAAGCAAGGAAAAUGUUAGCUUUAUAAACUCCACUUUGGAAAAGUUUUAGAACAGACCUUAUUAUAGAGUUCCACUAAGGCACCUGGUAUGGUAUUUCAUAUGGAAUUUGAUUCACA
rnacentral:lncRNA from 1 species